GACGUAGGGCGCGAGCGUUGUCCGGAUUUAUUGGGCGUAAAGAGCUCGUAGGCGGCUUGUCGCGUCGUCCGUGAAAACCCGGGGCUCAACUCCGGGCUUGCGGGCGAUACGGGCAGGCUAGAGUUCGGUAGGGGAGACUGGAAUUCCUGGUGUAGCGGUGAAAUGCGCAGAUAUCAGGAGGAACACCAGUGGCGAAGGCGACACGCUGGGCCGUACCUGACGCUAAAGCGCGACAGCAUGGGGAGCAAACGAG
rnacentral:rRNA from 1 species